CCUGAAGGUAGGUAUGUUUAUUAAAAUUGAAAUAUAAUAUUGUGUUGAUUACAAUCAUAACGUCUCUAUUUGUGAAUGGUACAGUUUGAUAAGUCGUGAUUCGUGAGUGAUGAUGAAAUUAAUUUAAAAAGUUACCAGUUGUAGGCUUGUAGCAAUGUACGAUAGUGCAUUCUAUUAAUCACAAAACAUGAUGGAAAAUAUACACAAGAUGAUAUUAUUACGGUGAAAAAUCAAGGAGUGUCAAGUAAAGAAGAUUGCAACUUAAUCUGUAAGGGUCAUAAUUAUUCUAUUUAUAUA